rnacentral:rRNA from 1 species
GAUGAACGCUGGCGGCGUGCUUAACACAUGCAAGUCGAACGGAAAGGCCCAAGCUUGCUUGGGUACUCGAGUGGCGAACGGGUGAGUAACACGUGGGUGAUCUGCCCUGCACUUCGGGAUAAGCCUGGGAAACUGGGUCUAAUACCGGAUAGGACCACUUCUUGGAUGUUGUGGUGGAAAGUUUUUUCGGUGUGGGAUGAGCUCGCGGCCUAUCAGCUUGUUGGUGGGGUAAUGGCCUACCAAGGCGUCGACGGGUAGCCGGCCUGAGAGGGUGUACGGCCACAUUGGGACUGAGAUACGGCCCAGACUCCUACGGGAGGCAGCAGUGGGGAGUAUUGCACAAUGGGCGCAAGCCUGAUGCAGCGACGCCGCGUGGGGGAUGACGGCCUUCGGGUUGUAAACUCCUUUCGCUAGGGACGAAGCGUUUUGUGACGGUACCUGGAGAAGAAGCACCGGCUAACUACGUG